rnacentral:lncRNA from 1 species
AGCAAAUGCUUCCGUGAUUUUUACAUUCAUGUCUGAUUUCAAGGAUUUUAUCAAAGUUUUACUGAUAUUUCAAUUUUAUACUUUGCAUAUGCAAUUCUAGGAAUCAACGGUUAAAGUGAUCUGCAAAACUCAUAAAUUCUUCAAGAAGAUAAUAAUCAAGGUAAGGAAAAAGAAAAUAAAAACUGAGGAAACCGCAUAAAGAAGAUCCAGCCCGGGUGUGUCGACAGUCAUGCAAGCAUCAACCGACAAGACAUUAUAUACUCAUUCAAUAUGUCACAAUCGGGAUUUAUUUUAGAACAUACAUAGACUGGAUAAUAUGAAAUUAACAUUUACACGACAUAGAGCCAUGUUAAUGAUUAUAUGUAAGAUAUUUCAUUUGACUACUAUGUUAAUAAAUAGUAAACAUUGUAAUGAAGUCUUUUGAACAUAAAACAAACAGCC